rnacentral:rRNA from 1 species
CGUGCUAAGGUAGCAUAGUCGCUCGCCCUUUAAUUGGGGGCUUGUAUGAAUGGACUUACGCGGGCACGACUGUCUCGCCAAAACCAAAUAAAAAUUAUCCUCCAGGUGAAAAGACCUUGAUAAAAUAGUAAGACAAAAAGACCCUACAGAGCUUUAUCUUCCCGCCCACCUUGCCCCCUACACUUUAGACCUCCCCCUUGGGCCCGAGAUUUGGUUGGGGCGACAAAGGACCACCUAAAACGUCCUUCCUUAAAACGACCUCUCGUCUCCAAACGACUCAUUAGACCCCUUGUUUAAGAGGCUUCAGCUACCUUAGGGAUAACAGACUAAUAUCCCCUCCAGAGCCCGAAUCGAAAGGGGAGCUUGG